rnacentral:rRNA from 1 species
AGCAGCCGCGGUAAUUCCAGCUCCAAUAGCGUAUAUUAAAGUUGUUGCAGUUAAAAAGCUCGUAGUUGAAUUUCGGGAUCAAUAUAUCGGUCGUGCCUUGGUACGUACUGGUAUCAUUGGUUUCUCCUUUCUGACGAACCAUGAUGUCAUUAAUUUGGUGUUAUGGGAAGUUAGGACUGUUACUUUGAAAAAUUAGGGUGUUUAAAGCAGGCUUUAGCUUGAAUACAUUAGCAUGGAAUAAUGAAAUAGGACGUUCGAACCUAUUUUGUUGGUUUCUAGGAUCAACGUAAUGAUUAAUAGGGAUAGUUGGGGGCAUUAGUAUUCAAUUGUCAGAGGUGAAAUUCUUGGAUUUAUUGAAGACUAACUACUGCGAAAGCAUUUGCCAAGGAUGUUUUCAUUAAUCAAGACGAAAGUUAGGGGAUCGAAGACGAUCAGAUACCGUCGUAGUC